rnacentral:rRNA from 1 species
CCCUUAGAUGUUCUGGGCUGCACGCGCGCUACACUGAUGCGAUCAACAAGUUUUUCCUAUGUCGAUAGACACGGGUAAUCUUUUGAACUCGCAUCGUGCUGGGGAUAGAUUAUUGUAAUUAUUAAUCUUCAACGAGGAAUUCCUAGUAGGUGCAAAUCAUCAGUUUGCAUCGAUUACGUCCCUGCCCUUUGUACACACCGCCCGUCGCUGCUACCGAUUGGUUGAUCUGGUGAAUUAUUCGGACUGCCGGCUGAAGGGGUUUCCUCAUCUGCCAGCGGAAAGUCUUGUUAACCCUAUCAACUAGAGGAAGCAGAAGUCGUAACA